AACGAACGCUGGCGGCAUGCCUAACACAUGCAAGUCGAACGAAGCCUUCGGGCUUAGUGGCGCACGGGUGCGUAACGCGUGGGAAUCUGCCCUUGGGUCUGGAAUAACAGCGGGAAACUGCUGCUAAUACCGGAUGAUGACGUAAGUCCAAAGAUUUAUCGCCCAGGGAUGAGCCCGCGUAGGAUUAGGUAGUUGGUGGGGUAAAGGCCUACCAAGCCUACGAUCCUUAGCUGGUCUGAGAGGAUGAUCAGCCACACUGGGACUGAGACACGGCCCAGACUCCUACGGGAGGCAGCAGUAGGGAAUAUUGGACAAUGGGGGCAACCCUGAUCCAGCAAUGCCGCGUGAGUGAUGAAGGCCUUAGGGUUGUAAAGCUCUUUUACCCGGGAUGAUAAUGACAGUACCGGGAGAAUAAGCCCCGGCUAACUCCGUGCCAGCCGCCGCGGUAAAAC
rnacentral:rRNA from 1 species